GUGCCUAUCAUGCAAGUCGAGCGGACAGAAGUUGGAUGCCAGAGGUCAGGAAGUUGGACUUCUCGAGGAAGUUUGAUUGUUCAUCUAUGAAGAUGACUUUCAUCUUACUUCCGGCUUCCGGCGUCCGACUUCUGUUAGCGGCGGACGGGUGAGUAACACGUGGGCAACCUGCCUGUAAGACCGGGAUAACUUGCGGAAACGUGAGCUAAUACCGGAUAAUGAUUUCUGCCGCAUGACAGGAAUCUGAAAGACGGCGCAAGCUGUCACUUACAGAUGGGCCCGCGGCGCAUUAGCUAGUUGGUGGGGUAACGGCCUACCAAGGCGACGAUGCGUAGCCGACCUGAGAGGGUGAUCGGCCACACUGGGACUGAGACACGGCCCAGACUCCUACGGGAGGCAGCAGUAGGGAAUCUUCCGCAAUGGACGAAAGUCUGACGGAGCAACGCCGCGUGAGCGAAGAAGGUCUUCGGAUCGUAAAGCUCUGUUGUCAGGGAAGAACAAGUACGAGAGUAACUGCUCGUACCUUGACGGUACCGACCAAAAGCCCGGCUA
rnacentral:rRNA from 1 species